UUAUUUGCGUGUUUUUGAAAAAAAGUAUAUACUAUUAUAUAUUUUUAAAACGAUAAAAAAAAGAAAAAUUUUAUAGUAUAUAAAUGUAUAGAGUGUUCCAUUUGAAAAUAAAAACAUAAUUUGGUUUAUAACUCAAAAAUAGUUAGCCUGACCGACUGGGACCUACAAGCUGGAAUUAUGUUUAGUUCCCUUACAAAGAUGACUUUAAUUCCCCCGGCAGAUCCGAUUAUUUGGAUGACCAUCUUCACUGAGUGUCCAGGGUAUAAACGCUGAAAUUCAAAAUUUAAUUCUCGAUAUUUGUCGCGCUUUUCAGUUUCCUUGAUAUUAAUAUUGGUCUCUGCUAGUGCUGAAGUCCAGCAGGACAAUAUCGGGCUAAUUGGCGCACAUGAUAACGAAAGUGGGGAAGGCAUAAUUCCAAUAGAGACGACAUCUAUCAUUUUCCUCUAUUUCGUGUAUGGAACGACGGGCUGUUCAUCCAAUCCAUAUACAAACCGCAGAUGAAAAUACCGAUUUCGCAUAGCAGCAUUAUGUCGAUUGAUGUACAUCGACUGAGCUUAAGUGGGGCAAGCUAACAUAAUAUAUAUUACAUAAUAUCGUUUCAGACUCGGAGUGGUGGACAAAAAAGGGCCUCCCUGUGUUCUGCUGCCGAUGCCGCAACAAACAAGCGAAUAAACAAAGAGCCCCGGCCGACUUUGAUUUCCGUGCCACGCAUUUGCAUGCCCAAGAACAGAUCUCCGGAUCGGCUUUUGCCGAGGACACGAGCGCCAUAAAUUUUUUAGUAUCUCCAUUUCAAUAUACCAAGAUGGAGAGACUCGGUUAGUAUGCAACCUGAAAAAUAUUUAGUUUUGUAUUAGUCAUCUAAAUUUCCAAUAAGUAAAAUUACUUAAAGUAAAAACAAUCUUGUCAUCUGUAAGCCAUUAUAUAAAUAAAUCCUUUUUGUAACCAA